rnacentral:rRNA from 1 species
ACAUGCAAGUCGAACGAAGUAGCAAUACUUAGUGGCAGACGGGUGAGUAACAUGUGGGUAUCUACCCUUUGGCCUGGAAUAACACGAGGAAACUUGUGCUAAUACUGGAUAAGUCUUUACGGAGAAAGCUUUAUGCACCAUUGGAUGAGCCCGCACUUGAUUAGUUUGUUGGUAGGGUAAUGGCCUACCAAGACUUUGAUCAAUAGCUGAUUUGAGAGGAUGAUCAGCCACAUUGGGACUGAGACACGGCCCAAACUCCUACGGGAGGCAGCAGUGGGGAAUCUUGCACAAUGGAGGAAACUCUGAUGCAGCGAUGCCGCGUGAGUGAAGAAGGCCCUUGGGUUGUAAAGCUCUUUCGUCGGGGAAGAAAAUGACUGUACCCGAAUAAGAAGGUCCGGCUAACUUCGUGCCAGCAGCCGCGGUAAUACGAAGGGACCUAGCGUAGUUCGGAAUUACUGGGCUUAAAGAGUUCGUAGGUGGUUGAAAAAGUUGGUGGUGAAAUCCCAGAGCUUAACUCUGGAACUGCCAUCAAAACUUUUCAGCUAGAGUUUGAUAGAGGAAAGCAGAAUUUCUAGUGUAGAGGUGAAAUUCGUAGAUAUUAGAAAGAAUACCGAUUGCGAAGGCAGCUUUCUGGAUCAUUACUGACGCUGAGGAACGAAAGCAUGGGUAGCGAAGAGGAUUAGAUACCCUCGUAGUCCAUGCUGUAAACGAUGUGUGUUAGACGUUGGAAAUUUAUUUUCAGUGUCGCAGUGAAAACGAUAAACACACCGCCUGGGG